CUCAGCCCAGGUCCCUGUGCCUCUCAGGCUGCUAGCGACAGAGGCUGAAUCCCUGGCUGGGCUCUGAGGCAUGGGUAGGUGGUGAACAUCGAAGCAUGGUAAUUUCGUGGGAAAAAAUUUAGAAUGGCUAGGUCCCUUGCACCUCAUAAUUGCUCUGUGCACAUUCCAAUAAGGCAGAAAGCUCAUUGGCUGGAGGCAGCGCAUAAUGGGAGGAAGUGAUGAUCACUUAUGCAAUGUUCCAUUAGAUGCCAUUACAAGAGCCUGCCCUUUCGUUGUAAUUUGGUGCUUGACUAAUGGAAGUUAUCAAGAAGCCCACAUAUUGAACAUGUUUGAAUGCAGUUAGAGUUGAUGGAUGGGGAGAAGUCGCCUCUCUAACUCAGCAUCUGCAUUAGAAGAUCUGCUCUCACCAGCCUACGUCUGAGGAAGCACCAGGGGCCUGCAGGAGUACAAGGGAUGGAUGGCAAAAAGGGAAAUUUAUUUUCCAGAAACAUUUGCAAGACUUUCGAAAAUUCCAGGGACAGUAGUUUGGGGAAGGAUGUUAUUUCAGGGAGAAGAGAAGCAGAAUUUCUUAUGUCCUCCGUGAUUGAAAAUAUAAUUGAAAAUAUUCAAGACUGA